rnacentral:rRNA from 1 species
CCAAUAGCGUAUAUUAAAGUUGUUGCAGUUAAAAAGCUCGUAGUUGAAUUUCGGGGUUAGUAGGUUGGUCAUGCCUCUGGUAUGUACUGGUCUCACUGAUUCCUCCUUCCUUAUGAACCGUAAUGCCAUUAAUUUGGUGUUGCGGGGAAUUUGGACUGUUACUUUGAAAAAAUUAGAGUGUUUAAAGCAAGCUAACGCUUGAAUACAUUAGCAUGGAAUAAUGAAAUAGGACGUUCGAUCUUAUUUUGUUGGUUUCUAGGGUUGACGUAAUGAUUAAUAGGGAUAGUUGGGGGCAUUAGUAUUCAAUUGUCAGAGGUGAAAUUCUUGGAUUUAUUGAAGACUAACUACUGCGAAAGCAUUUGCCAAGGAUGUUUUCAUUAAUCAAGAACGAAAGUUAGGGGAUCGAAGACGAUCAGAUACCGUCGUAGUCUUAACCAUAAACUAUGCCGACUAGGGAUCGGAUGAUGUUAAUUUUUUAAUGACUCAUUCGGCGCCUUACG